rnacentral:rRNA from 1 species
GACGGGGGAUGCAAGUGUUAUCCGGAAUCACUGGGCGUAAAGCGUCUGCAGGUGGUUUCCUAAGUCCACUGUUAAACCUUGAGGCUCAACCUCAAAUCUGCAUUGGAAACUAGGAGACUUGAGUAUAGUAGGGGUAGAGGGAAUUUCCAGUGGAGCGGUGAAAUGCGCAGAUAUCGAGAGGAACACCUGCGGCGAAGGCGGGUUGCUGGCCCGGUACUGACGCUGAGGUGCGAAAGCGUGGGGAGCAAACAGG